AACGAACGCUGGCGGCAUGCCUAACACAUGCAAGUCGAACGAGACCUUCGGGUCUAGUGGCGCACGGGUGCGUAACGCGUGGGAAUCUGCCCUUGGGUACGGAACAACAGUUAGAAAUGACUGCUAAUACCGUAUAAUGACUCCGGUCCAAAGAUUUAUCGCCCAAGGAUGAGCCCGCGUCGGAUUAGCUAGUUGGUGAGGUAAAAGCUCACCAAGGCGACGAUCCGUAGCUGGUCUGAGAGGAUGAUCAGCCACACUGGGACUGAGACACGGCCCAGACUCCUGCGGGAGGCAGCAGUGGGGAAUAUUGGACAAUGGGCGAAAGCCUGAUCCAGCAAUGCCGCGUGAGUGAUGAAGGCCUUAGGGUUGUAAAGCUCUUUUACCCGGGAUGAUAAUGACAGUACCGGGAGAAUAAGCCCCGGCUAACUCCGUGCCAGCCGCCGCAGUAACAC
rnacentral:rRNA from 1 species